UACGUAGGAGGCGAGCGUUGUCCGGAUUUACUGGGCGUAAAGGGCGCGCAGGCGGCCCACUAAGUACGAUGUGAAAUCUCCCUGCUCAAGGGGGAGGGUGCACUGUAAACUGGUGAGCUAGAGGACGGUAGAGGGGGGGUGGAAUUGCUGGUGUAGCGGUGAAAUGCGUAGAGAUCAGCAGGAACGCCCCGUGGCGAAGGCGGCCCCCCUGGGCCGUACCUGACGCUGAGGCGCGAAGGCUAGGGGGAGCG
rnacentral:rRNA from 1 species